UACGUAGGGGGCAAGCGUUGUCCGGAUUUACUGGGCGUAAAGCGUGCGCAGGCGGUUGUGCAAGACAGAUGUGAAAUCCCCGGGCUCAACCUGGGAAUUGCAUUUGUGACUGCACGGCUAGAGUGUGUCAGAGGGGGGUAGAAUUCCACGUGUAGCAGUGAAAUGCGUAGAGAUGUGGAGGAAUACCGAUGGCGAAGGCAGCCCCCUGGGAUAACACUGACGCUCAUGCACGAAAGCGUGGGGAGCAAACAGG
rnacentral:rRNA from 1 species